rnacentral:rRNA from 1 species
UACAGAGGUCUCGAGCGUUAGGCGGAAUCACUGGGCUUAAAGCGUGUGUAGGCGGAUUGGUAAGUACUUUGUGAAAUCCCACGGCUUAACCGUGGAACUGCUUGGUAUACUGCCAGUCUUGAGCCAGCUAGGGGCUACCGGAACAAAUGGUGGAGCGGUGAAAUGCGUAGAUAUCAUUUGGAACGCCAAUGGUGAAAACAGGUAGCUGGGCUGUGCUGACGCUGAGACACGAAAGCCAGGGGAGCAAACGGG